ACGACCACACCAUCCUGAAAACACCGGUUCUCGCCCGAUCACCGAAGUUAUGCAUUAUCGGGCGUAGUCAGAGAGAGAGAGAGUACUUGGGGAGUGUGGCCACCUAGGAACACUGUGCGUUGGC